rnacentral:rRNA from 1 species
AGAGUUUGAUCCUGGCUCAGGAUGAACGCUAGCGACAGGCCUAACACAUGCAAGUCGAGGGGCAGCAUAAGCAAAGCUUGCUUUGUUUGAUGGCGACCGGCGCACGGGUGAGUAACACGUAUGCAACCUAGCUUUUACAAGGGGAUAGUCUUUAGAAAUGGAGAAUAAUACCUUAUAACACUUAUAUGUCGCAUGACAAAUAAGUUAAAGUUACGGCGGUAGAAGAUGGGCAUGCGUCUGAUUAGUUAGUUGGUGAGGUAACGGCUCACCAAGGCGACGAUCAGUAGGGGUUCUGCANGGAAGGUCCCCCACAUUGGUNCUGAGNCAGGAUCAAACU